GCGCGCCUAACACAUGCAAGUCGCACGAGAAAGGGCUUCGGCCCCGGUAAAGUGGCGCACGGGUGAGUAACACGUGGGUAACCUGCCCUCGAGCGGGGGAUAACAUUCCGAAAGGAGUGCUAAUACCGCAUAAGACCACGACCCCGAAAGGGGUUGAGGUAAAAGCUGGCCUCUAUACAUAAGCUAGCACUUGAGGAUGGCCCGCGGCGCAUCAGCUUGUUGGUGGGGUAACGGCCUACCAAGGCGAAGACGCGUAGCUGGUCUGAGAGGAUGAUCAGCCACACUGGAACUGAGACACGGUCCAGACUCCUACGGGAGGCAGCAGUGGGGAAUCUUGCGCAAUGGGCGAAAGCCUGACGCAGCGACGCCGCGUGAGUGAUGAAGGCCUUCGGGUUGUAAAGCUCUGUGGGGAGAGACGAAUAAGUGCAGCCUAAUACGUUGCAUGAUGACGGUAUCUCCUUAGCAAGCACCGGCUAACUCUGUGCCAGCAGCCGCGGUAAGACAGAGGGUGCAAACGUUGUUCGGAAUUACUGGGCGUAAAGCGUGUGUAGGCGGUCUCCUAAGUCGGGUGUGAAAUCCCUG
rnacentral:rRNA from 1 species